CAUGAGAAAUUGAAUGUUAAAAUGGAGGGAGAAGUUCUUCAUUCUUUUGACAAGAGAUCCAACCAUUGUAAUAAUCAGAUCAUCAUCAUUAUAUUACUAGGCUAUGUUGCACGUCCCUCAAAAAAUGUUUUUGACCCCGUGGCGGAUCCUCAAAAAUUACAUAGCUUUGGGAGGAUCCUGUUACACCCCGAAUUUUUUUUGCGCGUUAAAGUUGCAUCAUGAGUUAGUCAACGCAAGUUCAAAAGAAAUUAUGUUGAGGAUAGAAGGGAUUGAUUUUAUUAAUAAAAAUGGUUACAAGAGUCUCUAAAUAAUAUUAGUAAGUAGCGGAAGAUUUGGAGGGUGAAUGAAUCAAAAAAGCACGAGUUUCAUUAAAAGUCGGCAAGUUGGGAAUACGAUAACUUGUACUUUUGGGUGAGAUUAGGAGUGCUCCACAUGCUAAGCAAGUAAUGAUAUGAAUUAUUUGAAUUGUAUAAUGGUCUCUUGUUAAGUUUGGAAGUCAAACGAGUUGUAAUACGAAAGUCGACGAAGAGCGUCGCAAGUUAAGUUUGUAAAUUUCACUGAAUUUUGGGUCAGAUGUCUCGGAGAUUUUCUCUCAAUCUACUUGGAGUUACGGGGUGAUCCACCUACCAAAUCGAAGGUCUACGAGUUUAGUUUCCAUUGCAUUUUACCGUUUAUCAAUACGACGUCCGAGUAGAGAGAAAUCUGCAUUUCCGUCCAAGGGUGCAAACUGCCACAGGGCAGUGGGCCCAACUUAAGUGAUAUAAAUAAAGUCCCCAACGUUUUAGGCCCUCAUUUUCAUCAAUAUUAAAUCCUAGAUCAGCCCUUAUACUCUCCCAAAUUUAUUCUCCAUCAAUCACAACUAAGUUCAAAGGCAAAUCAAGUGAUUACAACAUAAGGAAUCACAUGACAAUCAUAGAAUCGUAGAUUUCUCGUUGUUUCGAUUUUCGGAAGAAAGCUUCGUCUUGAAAUAACUUAAGUUGCAGAGUAUUAUUCAACUUUUGAGGAAGUCAGUUAUAAAGUGUUCGAAGCUUAUGGAAAUGUGUAUAACUCCAAUCGACGAGGUACGAUAGACGGAUUGUUGUACCUUUCUCGGUAGGAUACCAAAGUUCAGCAGGGAUGUUCGCACUCCAUUCUCCGGAGUUACUGGUCAGAGUCAUCAAAUAGGACGCAUGCAUAUAUGUAUAUAUAGAGUAUGGCUAUGGGUACGUCGGGGCCACUAUCCCGACUAGUUGAUGCAUAUUAGUGCUCUUAGAGGCUUACAGACUAUCAGUCAGUGUACAGGUAUUGUGUUUGGCCUUGCCGGCCUUCUGACUAGUUGUCUUUCUUGGUUGUGGCCUUGUCGGCCCUAGUUAUGCAUAUAUUUGUUGUUGGGCCUUUUUCUGUUUGCAGAUUGUUAUGAUAUACUUCUUACAAUUGUUAUUCAGCGGCCUUGUCGGCCUAUGAUUCACGUUA